rnacentral:lncRNA from 1 species
UUUGAUCUUCUCUCUUGCAUCAGAUGUUUGCUAUCAUUUGUCCUUGCUACCCCUAAUUGCCUCUUUUUACUUGCUAGUCCUGACUUGCAGUAGGUUUGUAAGCCAGAUGCUUAGCUUAAUAAAAUUGUGGGCACAUAAAAGCAUUCCUAGGCGAUGAGUAAGGACCAAGGGGAUCUCCUACGUGUAGUGCAUGCAUUUCGUGGCAUCUGUUUCACAAUGAGUUUUCUUCUUGGCUAAGUCCUACACAGGUAAAGAUGUCAGGUGUCUGGAUUUUGGAGGGGUGAGGUGGAAUGAUAACAUUUUGUAUGGCUUCGAAUGGAUGGAGGGCUUAAAUAUAUUCUCAUUGAGGAGCAUGGUUGCUUCAUAACAGCCGGGACUCUGCUUUGUGUGAUCUGACAUCCUUCACAACACCAGGGUCUUUCAAAGUGGAAACCAAAGACUCCAGAUGAGACAUUGAAAAUUAAUACCACAAACUUUGCUCUCCUGUAGCCCCAGAGUGAGUGGGCGAAGAUAAGGCCCUGUGUGAUGCCAUGUGGAGAGAAGGCCAGUGGAGCAGAAUGGACAGCCUUGUAAAAUUACCAAGUUCAAGAAGAUGUUGCACACAGCAAGAAAAUAAAAUGAAAAAAUGCUUCAAUACCAUGG